CCUACGGGGGGCAGCAGUAGGGAAUCUUUCACAAUGGGCGAAAGCCUGAUGGAGCAACGCCGCGUGCAGGAUGAAGGCCUUCGGGUUGUAAACUGCUUUUAUAAGCGAGAAAUAUGAGGGUAACUUAUGAAUAAGGAUCGGCUAACUACGUGCCAGCAGCCGCGGUCAUACGUAGGAUCCGAGCAUUAUCCGGAGUGACUGGGUGUAAAGAGUUGCGUAGGUGGCAUAAUAAGUAGCUAGUGAAAUCUGGUGGCUCAACCAUUCAGACUAUUAGCUAAACUGUUAAGCUCGAGACCGUUAGGGGUAACUGGAAUUUCUAGUGUAGGAGUGAAAUCCGUAGAUAUUAGAAGGAACACCAAUAGCGUAGGCAGGUUGCUGGGACGGUUCUGACACUAAGGCACGAAAGCGUAGGGAGCAAACGGGAUUAGAUACCCCAGUAGUC
rnacentral:rRNA from 1 species